rnacentral:rRNA from 1 species
GACGAACGCUGGCGGCGUGCUUAACACAUGCAAGUCGAACGGACAGGCCCUGAUUUUGUGGGGUGCUCGAGUGGCGAACGGGUGAGUAACACGUGAGUAACCUGCACUUGUCUUUGGGAUAACUUCAGGAAACUGGGGCUAAUACCGGAUAGGAGCUCUUGCUGCAUGGUGGGGGAUGGAAAGUUUCGGCGGUUGGGGAUGGACUCGCGGCUUAUCAGCUUGUUGGUGGGGUAGUGGCUUACAAAGGCUUUGAAGGGUAGCCGGCCUGAGAGGGUGACCGGCCACAUUGGGACUAAGAUACGGCCCAGACGCCUACGGGAGGCAGCAGUGGGGAAUAUGGCGCAGUGGGCGGAAGCCUGAGGCAGCAACGCCGCGUGCGGAAUGACGUCCUUCGGGUUGUAAACCGCUUUCGCCUGUGACGAAGCGUGAGUGACGGUAAUGGGUAAGGAAGCACCGGCUAACUACGUG